CAGUAGCCGCGGUAAUACGAAGGGGGCUAGCGUUGCUCGGAAUUACUGGGCGUAAAGGGAGCGUAGGCGGACAUUUAAGUCAGGGGUGAAAUCCCAGAGCUCAACUCUGGAACUGCCUUUGAUACUGGGUGUCUUGAGUGUGAUAGAGGUAUGUGGAACUCCGAGUGUAGAGGUGAAAUUCGUAGAUAUUCGGAAGAACACCAGUGGCGAAGGCGACAUACUGGAUCAUUACUGACGCUGAGGCUCGAAAGCGUGGGGAGCAAACAGGAUUAGAGACCCGAGUAGUCCCUGUCUCUUAUAC
rnacentral:rRNA from 1 species